UGGGGAAUUUUGCACAAUGGGCGCAAGCCUGAUGCAGCGACGCCGCGUGAGGGAUGAAGGCCUUCGGGUUGUAAACCUUUUUCGCUCAUGGUCAAGCCGCAGCUUUGGGUUGUGGUGAGGGUAGUGGGUAAAGAAGCGCCGGCUAACUACGUGCCAGCAGCCGCGGUAAUACGUAGGGCGCGAGCGUUGUCCGGAAUUAUUGGGCGUAAAGGGCUUGUAGGCGGUUGGCCGCGUCUGCCGUGAAAUCCUCUGGCUUAACUGGGGGCGUGCGGUGGGUACGGGUUGACUUGAGUGCGGUAGGGGAGACUGGAAUUCCUGGUGUAGCGGUGGAAUGCGCAGAUAUUAGGAAGAACACCGGUGGCUAAGGCGGCCUUCUGGGCCAUAACUGACGCUGAGGAGCGAAAGCUAGGGGAGCGAACAGG
rnacentral:rRNA from 1 species